UUUCUCUACCGCCGCGCGCUGCCGUCCCUAUCACCACCUCAACCCCUACUACCACAAGAACCCCUUACCCUUCUUUCAACUACCCUCCUUCCACUCCAACACCAACUCCAUCAAAACACAGAGUUUCCUAUCUCCCAACCAAAUCUUCUCCGGCUAAAACCUCGUCGUUGCCAUUUCUCUUCCUUCUCCUCUUCUCUCUCCGCUCUUUUUACUCUCUCCUCCCUUUCCUUCAAUCUUCCCCUUCCUCUUUCUCUCUUUUCCCCUUCUCUUUCCUUGUUUCUCUCCUUUCCUUUCUUCUCACUUUCUCUUUCUCCUUCUCCUUCUUCAGUUCUUCCUCUUCCAGUAGAGACCCUUUUCAUCAGAAGAACCGUUAUGGGUUUUUCUCCUUCACCCGAUCUCAG
rnacentral:misc_RNA from 1 species